rnacentral:rRNA from 1 species
GACGGAGGAUGCAAGCGUUAUCCGGAAUUAUUGGGCGUAAAGAGUACGUAGGUGGCCUAUCAAGUCAGGGGUCAAAUCCCACAGCUUAACUGUGGACCGGCCUUUGAAACUGACAGGCUCGAGGAUGGUAGGGGUAGAGGGAAUUCCCGGUGUAGCGGUGAAAUGCGUAGAUAUCGGGAAGAACACCUGUGGCGAAAGCGCUCUACUGGACCAUCACUGACACUGAGGUACGAAAGCUAGGGGAGCGAAUGGG